rnacentral:rRNA from 1 species
AGAGUUUGAUCCUGGCUCAGGAUGAACGCUAGCUACAGGCUUAACACAUGCAAGUCGAGGGGCAUCAUGACGAUAGCUUGCUAUUGUUGAUGGCGACCGGCGCACGGGUGAGUAACGCGUAUCCAACCUUCCCCUUAGUAGGGCAUAGCCCGGCGAAAGUCGGAUUAAUACCCUAUGUUAUUCGUAGAGGACAUCUGAAAUGAAUCAAAGAUUAAUCGCUAAGGGAUGGGGAUGCGUCCGAUUAGGUAGUCGGCGGGGUAACGGCCCACCGAGCCUUCGAUCGGUAGGGGUUCUGAGAGGAAGGUCCCCCACACUGGUACUGAGACACGGACCAGACUCCUACGGGAGGCAGCAGUGAGGAAUAUUGGUCAAUGGACGGGAGUCUGAACCAGCCAAGUAGCGUGCAGGACGACGGCCCUAUGGGUUGUAAACUGCUUUUAUACGGGGAUAAAGUCGCCCACGUGUGGGUGUUUGUAGGUACCGUAUGAAUAAGGACCGGCUAAUUCCGUGCC